rnacentral:misc_RNA from 1 species
UGUAGCAGGGGUGUGGUUGUG